GGUCCGAACCCACGAGCGUUGAAAAGCUCGGGGAUGACUUGUGGGUAGCGGUGAAAUUCCAAUCGAGCCCGGAGAUAGCUGGUUCUCCCCGAAAUAGCUUUAGGGCUAGCCUCAAAGUGAGAGAUACGGAGGUAGAGCACUGAAUGUCCUAGGGGGUAUUACACCUACCGAAGACUAACACACUACGAAUUCCGUCAUCCUAUACUUUUCCGUCAGACUGUGGGUUAUACGAUUCAUACUCGCAACAGCAACAGCCCAGCUCUUCAGCUAAGUUCCCUAAAUGUAAGUUAAGUGGUAAAGGAUGUGGGAUUGCACAGACAACCAGGAUGUUGGCUUAGAAGCAGCCACUCAUUCAAAGAGUGCGUAAUAGCUCACUGGUCGAGUGAUCCUGCGCCGAAGAUUUCCGGGGCUAAAACUUACUACCGAAGCUACGGCAUCAGUAAUGAUGGGUAGGGGAGCUUCCCAUACGGGUUGAAGCAUGACCGUAAGGACAUGUGGACAGUAUGGGAGUGAGAAUGUUGGCAUGAGUAGCGAGAUGUGGGUGAGAAUCCCACAGGCCGUAAACCCAAGGUUUCCAGGGGAAGGUUCGUCCGCCCUGGGUUAGUCGGGACCUAAGCUGAGGCCGAAAGGCGUAGGGGAUGGACAACAGGUUGAUAUUCCUGUACUACCGAUAACCGUUUGAGAGAAGGGAUGACACAGUAGGAUAAGCUAAGCACACUGUUGGUUAUGUGUGCCCAAGCAUUGAGGCAGUCAAAGUAGGCAAAUCCGCUUUGAUAAUGCUGGGAUGUGAUGGGGAGCGAAAUUUAGUAGCGAA
rnacentral:rRNA from 1 species